UACGUAGGUGGCAAGCGUUGUCCGGCUUUACUGGGCGUAACGAGCGCGCAGGCGGUCGUUCAAGUCGCGUGUGAAAGCCCCCGGCUCAACUGGGGAGGGUCACGCGAUACUGAUCGACUCGAAGGCAGGAGAGGGAAGUGGAAUUCCCGGUGUAGUGGUGAAAUGCGUAGAUAUCGGGAGGAACACCAGUGGCGAAGGCGACUUCCUGGCCUGUUCUUGACGCUGAGGCGCGAAAGCUAGGGGAGCAAACGGG
rnacentral:rRNA from 1 species